rnacentral:lncRNA from 1 species
UUUUGCCUGGCUACUUAAAACACUCACUCUGGAAGCCUUAAGCUGCCAUGUAAGAAAUUCAACUACCCUGAGGCCUCUGUGCUGCAGAAGUCACAUGUGGGCACCUUAGUCAACAGUCUCAGCUCUCCAGUCAUCCAUACUAAGGUACCAGACAUGUGAGUGAAGCCAUCUAGGAUCCUCCAGACCAGUCCAUCCACCAGCUGAGAGUAACUUCAGUCAUGUGGGACAGAAGAAUCAUCCAGCCAAGCCCUGCCAGAAUUCCUGACCCACAAAAUUCCUCCUACCAUAUGAUGAGGACACUUAAGCAGCCCUAUGGAGAUGAGGAACUGAGGCCUCCUGCAAACAACUGGAAUCAACUUGCCAGGCAUAGGCUGCUGGGGUUCUGGAUUUGACUGAGGAUCUACUAAUCAAAACUAGCUCAACUUGAAUUUGGAUAUGAGUAAGUGGGAAGAGAGGCAGGACUCAAGGCCAAACAUUUACUGGUGCGGAUCACAACAGAGAUGGUACGGUCUGGGAACCAGCUGCUAUGGUGGUAGCUCCUCAGUUUGACAGGCAGCUUCCUGAUCACAGUAGAAGUAGCACCUACCUAGGUGGCCCAGUUUUAUGGUGCAAAUUUGGGAGCACUCCUGGAAAACUCUACCUAGAUCUUUUUUCUUCACCCCACCACUGAUUCUGUAAGCCAUUUAAAUACCCUGUAAUAAAUCCCUUUAUGCUGAAAUUAGCUAGAGAAGAUUCUGCUCUUUGUAAAUAAGCUCAGAUCAUAUAGGACCCUUCAAACCUUUGCUACUACUCUCAGGGUUGUGAAAACCAGACUAGGUAGCAGAAAGAAGCCAAAAAGCUAAAAAUAAAA